UAAUUAUACUAAUUCUCACUUCAUCUCAAUUGUGACCAACAUCAAUAUCAAUUCAAGAAACUUGUACUUUUAUUUAUAUGGAUGAUCAACAAGAACAAGAACAAUUUGAAGAACCAAAUGUGGGCGAAUCAAAUCUAAAUGAGCAAAAUGAUAUUCCUAUUAAUUCAACUCCAAGGGAAACAAAAAGCUCAACUCCAACUGUGAAUUCAAGAAAGUUAAUAUUAGAUGUUUGGAAUCAUUUUAAGAGACAAAAAAUAGAUGGAAAUUGGAAAGUUGUGUGCAACUAUUGUAAGAAAAAGCUUUUGGGUGAUGGAAGGCAAGGUACAUCACAUUUGCGAAAUCAUUUCAAGACUUGUAAGCUUCGAACAACACGAGACAUCAAACAAGAAUUUUUAAAAACUAGGAAAGUAGAGAAUGAAACUGUGAUUAUUGGGAAUUAUGUGUUUAAUCAACAAACAACUAGGCAUGCACUCCGAAAGAUGAUAAUCCUACAUGAGUAUCUAAUGUCAAUGGUUGAUAACAUUGGUUUUAAAGAGUUUUGUUGUGCUCUACAACCUUUAUUCAAGGUGCUUUCUCGGAACUCUAUAAAAAAUGAUAUUAUGAAGGAGUAUAAUGAAGAAAAAGAGAAAAUAAAGUUACUACUGUCAAGGAUUCAAAGUCAAGUUGUAAUUACAACUGACAUGUGGACUGCUAGUAAUCAAAAUAAAGGAUACAUGACUAUAACAACUCACUUUAUUGAUGAUUUAUGGAGGCUACAAAGUUGACUUGUGAGGUAUUUGGGUGUAGCAAUUUUGGAGCUUGGACAUUAAUAUUCAGUUGAAGAGAGUUGCCACAUCAUUUCCACAUCAUUUCCACGUCAUUUCCAUGUCAUUUAAGUGAAUGGGCCAAAUUUGAGGCCCAGUAGAGCAUUUUUGUAAUUCUGAGUGGUAGAGUGACAUUUUUGUAAAUACUAGUGGCAAGGUUGAUUUGACCACGCGAAUGGGAGGUCUCUUAGCUCAUGCAGCCGCACCAUCAUCUUAUCCACUCUCCAUUUUAGGUUUUUCAAGCUUUGGAAGGUGACCAUGGAGGCACAAGCUGAUUUUUCACAUUUUCCACUCGUUUUUGACAUUUUAUGAGUCAUUAAAGCUUGUAUUGCUUAAUUGCAUGUUGAAUUCGUGGUUCACCUCUCAUUAGUUGUUUAACACCGAGUUCAUGAGUUAAUAACGAAAACAAUUCAUUUUCAA